rnacentral:rRNA from 1 species
AAUUUUCCGCAAUGGGCGCAAGCCUGACGGAGCAAUACCGCGGGAGGAAAGAAUGCCUGUGGGUUGUAAACCUCUUUUCUUAGGGAAGAAUUAUGACGGUACUUAACGAAUAAGCAUCGACUAACUCCGUGCCAGCAGCCGCGGUAAUACGGCGGAUGUAAGCGUUAUCCGGAAUCACUGGGCGUAAAGCGUCUGUAGGUGGCUUAGUAAGUCUGCUGUUAAAUAUUAGAGCUUAACUCUAAAUCAGCAGUGGAAACUUUAAACUAGAGUAUGGUAGGGCAAAGGGAAUUCCCAGUGUAGCGGUGAAAUGCGUAGAUAUUAGGAAGAAUACCGGUAGCGAAAGCGCUUUGCUUGGCCUUAACUGCCACUCAGAGACGAAAGCUAAGGUAGCGAAUGGGAUUAGAUACCCCAGUAGUCUUAGCUGUA